CAGUUACAAAAGAUAGGUAACCGUUUUUUCUUCUUUGAGUGCUAGCUCAUAUUGAUUCCAUUCUAGGUGAUCUACAAGCAGUAUACUCAGAGAUGGGCUCAGAGUUCACAGUCUAGUGGCCUGUAGCACUGCUCUACCGAAGCCAACAUCAUCCGAGGUCUCCUGGCCCCAGGUUGUGACAGAUGGAACAAACCAGAUCGAGAUGCCAUGGCACCUGAUCCUGGGACCGAUCAUUUAUUAGCCAGUCAUUGAGGUACAGGUGCCCAUCUGGGGAGUCCCCCCAGGACCUAGACCGUGGAGGCAGAGGAGGCAGAGGGCAUAACAGCCUCCUGGCCUGCUGAGAAGUAUGGAAGCUCAAGGAGCGAAGGGUGGCAUGCGAGUCUUUAAGGCCCGAGAGUCUUGCAUCUGUGAGCUAGGAGAAGAGCCCCGCCCCCUCAAACGGAAGGUCCUGAAUGAUGGCCUGCAUCACCUGGGAUAACCCAGAGGACUGCAACCAGGAACUGCACCUCAUGGCCACCACAAAGGCGACCACCCUGGCCGCUGAGUCAGUAGCAGCCCAGACCAUUUAAAGGGCCCUUCUUGCCACCGCUAUGCCCUUGUCCACCAAAGCGACAAACUCCUGGGCUCAGUCCUGCGGGAGGGCCUCCUUGAACAUGUUAAAGUUAAAAUUGUACCUGCCUAACAGGGCCAAGUGGU